GCUUUGAAAUGGUGCAUAAAUACGAAUGUGAGGAGCUGAAUCUGUGGCUUCAGAACCCUGCCAUGCCUACCUGGCUGAUUCCCAAGCUCUAGCUCUGUCCAUUUCACCCCGGACCUACUGUGCACCUUCCACCCAUCUCACCCCUGCCACCGCCCCUGACUCCAGAAACCUGGCACGUGACAAAGAUUACAUAGUGCAUCUGAGGUCACAGGCCUGAAGAAGAGAAGGGGUGGGAGCAGAAGUGAGGGAAAGGAAAGAAAGAAGAAAGGAAGGAGGGAGGGAGGCAGGGAGGGGAGAAGGGAGGAACCCAUGAGGAAGGAGGGCUAACAUCUCAGAAAGGGAUGGUGGCUCUGCUCUGCGAUGAACCGUCUCCGGGGGCUGCAUGCAAAGCAAAAGCCAAGGAGAAUCCGCAGUAUUUAUUCACUCCGUGAACACAACAGAGAUCUAGGACAGAGCCUGGAUGAACCUCCCCACCUUGCCAACACCCUGAGUUGCCCUGCAUGGAAUUUCCAGCAGAGAGGUGCUGGGAGUGAGACGCAAGAUGAAGAGACGAGAGGGAAUGGAAAGGAGGAAAAAGAGGGGAGUGUUGCCCAGAGAAGGGGCCCAUCAGAACCCUGGGGCCUGAGCCUGAGCUGUGACAGGCGGGACCUGUCCUCCAGACUGCGGGGCCAGGGAGGCAGCGAGCCUCACCUACCAGCCGAGCCUCCAGCAAUUCACAGCAGAGAGGAAGCCACAGGCGGCCCCACAGGCGGAUGUGCCUAG
rnacentral:lncRNA from 1 species